GAUGAAGAACGUAGCGAAAUGCGAUAAGUAGUGUGAAUUGCAGAAUUCAGUGAAUCAUCGAGUUUUUGAACGCACAUUGCGCCCAUUGGUAUUCCGAUGGGCAUGCCUGUUUGAGCGUCAUUUCCCCUCUCGAAACCCCCGCACUGGGGGCUUUGGGUUUUGGGCUUGUUCCCCCCCGAGGUGGGGCCAUUAACCCCUAAAUCUAGGGGCUUUUGGCAUCCAAAUGGGCUGGGGAAGCCCUAAAUAUUUACAGUGGUUUUGGGUGUUCCUAGGGAAACCGCGAGCGUUGUAGGUCUAUACUCGCUCUUCCGGCGUACUUUGGGACUUAUGCCCCCCUUUUGCCCCUAAUUUACUGGGAUAAAAGGGUAUCGUUUAAGGUUUGACCUCAGAUCAGGUAGGGAUACCCGCUGAACUUAAGCAUAUCAAUAAGCGGAGGA
rnacentral:misc_RNA from 1 species